rnacentral:rRNA from 1 species
UACGGAGGGUGCAAGCGUUAUCCGGAUUCACUGGGUUUAAAGGGUGCGUAGGCGGGUUGGUAAGUCCGUGGUGAAAUCUCCGAGCUUAACUCGGAAACUGCCGUGGGUACUAUCAAUCUAGAAUAUCGUGGAGGUAAGCGGAAUAUGUCAUGUAGCGGUGAAAUGCUUAGAUAUGACAUAGAACACCAAUUGCGUAGGCAGCGUACUACACGAUCAUUGACGCUGAGGCACGAAAGCGUGGGGAGCAAACAGG